rnacentral:rRNA from 1 species
AAGCGGUGGAGUAUGUGGUUUAAUUCGAUGCAACGCGAAGAACCUUACCUGGUCUUGACAUCCCGGAGACCCUUAGGAAACUAGGGGGUGCUUCCAUCUGGAAGAAUCUGGAGACAGGUGCUGCAUGGCUGUCGUCAGCUCGUGUCGUGAGGUGUUGGGUUAAGUCCCGCAACGAGCGCAACCCUUGCCUUUAGUUGCCAGCAGUUCGGCUGGGCACUCUAAAGGGACUGCCGGUGUUAAACCGGAGGAAGGUGGGGAUGACGUCAAGUCCUCAUGGCCUUUAUGACCAGGGCUACACACGUACUACAAUGGCCGAUACAAAGGGCAGCGACACUGCGAGGUGAAGCCAAUCCCGUAAAAUCGGUCUCAGUCCGGAUUGGAGUCUGCAACUCGACUCCAUGAAGUUGGAAUCGCUAGUAAUCGUGGAUCAGCAUGCCACGGUGAAUACGUUCCCGGGCCUU